GGUCAGUGGGCUGCCCAUUCACUCCACAGAUAUGAGGAGCACCUUCCUCCAAGAGGAGAGGCGCUCAGACAGGUGCUCAGGUAGCACCGCAGAGGCUCUGGGCGCCCCAGGUGCAGGGCCCCCACAGAGCCUCCCCCCAGGUGCAGGGCCCCCACAGAGCCUCCCCCCCAGGUGCAGGGCCCCCACAGAGCCUCCCCCCAGGUGCAGGGCCCCCACAGAGCCUCCCCCCCAGGUGCAGGGCUGCACAGAGCC